UACAGAGGCCCCAAGCGUUACUGAGAAUCACUGGGUUUAAAGGGUGCGUAGGUGGCGCGUUAAGUCCGUUGUGAAAUCCCUUGGCUCAACCAAGGAAUGGCUUCGGAUACUGGCGUGCUUGAGGCCGGUAAGGGUCACUGGAACUGACGGUGGAGCGGUGAAAUGCGUAGAUAUCGUCAGGAACGCCAAUGGUGAAGACAGGUGACUGGGCCGGUUCUGACACUGAGGCACGAAAGCGUGGGGAGCAAACAGG
rnacentral:rRNA from 1 species